CGCCACGUCCUCGCUCUGGGCUCCCUCCUCCCGGACCGAGCUCCAGCUUUGUUCUCCCGCCCAGGGGACACCUUGGCCUCGCUUUGAUUUUUUUGUUUUUUUGUUUUGUUACCGCUGGAAGCCCUGUCUAAGGUUUAGGGUUGUGGACGCAAAACUCUCCAGAACCGGGCUUCGAGUUAACACUAGCACCCUCUGGUCCUCCCUGGAAAUGCAUCAGAAGCAAAGGAACUGCCUUUCUGAAAACGAGGACUACCUCGCGCCUAGAGGACUCCGACCUCCUCCCACCCGAAGGAACGAUAUUUACCAACAUUUAAAAAAAUAAAAGCGGUACAAACACAGCACAUUUGAACAUCUCAAGAGCCCGCCAGCCCCUCCGUGUUCCAGGGUGUAAGGCGUGUGUACUUAUCUAUAUAUCUUGGACAAAUGUAUGAUAAUUUUUUUUUCAUUGCGCGCAGCUGCAGUUUUCAGGAGGUCCUUGUCUGUCUGGCUCUAAUUGUGGAGACAAAACCCCACACGACUUUACUCAAAGGACCUUAAUCUAGAGAAACAUUAUGUCAUUUGCAAAUCAUUGCUUAAUCGGACUACGCUAUUCAGAGGUGCAGGGAGAAGGGGCAUUUUCCGAAAUGGCCCUAGAGCUCAGGUGUUGAGGAGGAUGCUCCUUCUAGCAGUUUCUUUCCCCAGGCAGUUGGUGUAACUGUCAAAUGCAACAGAAGGCGUUGCCUUCCUUGGGGACGAGGAGGAUUUGCAAUUUACUUCUGAGACACUGUAUUCCCUGGAGUUUAAGGUAAUUUAGUUCUGCCACCGGAGAGGCAGUAACAAUAGGAAGAGAGAGUUUGGUCCUUGACAUUUAAAAAAACCCUGGGUUUGUGCAGGAAUCUCGCGGCAGGAAAGGAGGAAGCAGGCUGCCGUUGGACCCAUUCCAGCAGACACCCUGAAAGAGUCUUUUCCUUUUGUGGGGAAAAUGGAAACAUUUUGGAAUCCAGAUUUAAAACUCUGACUUAUAUUUUACAUGUUAAAUCACUGAAAGAUUGGGUACAACACUGCAUAAAGCUUCAAAACCUGCAAAUAUUUGACUGGUUUUGUAAGCGAGCAGCUGCCAGUCAUGUGGCUUUGACAGGCUGCCACAAUUUUGUCACUUAAUAGUGGGUGUUAGGCUAAGUG
rnacentral:lncRNA from 1 species